rnacentral:rRNA from 1 species
AUUGAACGCUGGCGGCAUGCCUUACACAUGCAAGUCGAACGGCAGCAUGGAGAGCUUGCUCUCUGAUGGCGAGUGGCGAACGGGUGAGUAAUGCAUCGGAACGUACCGUGUAAUGGGGGAUAACGUAGCGAAAGUUACGCUAAUACCGCAUACGACCUGGGGGUGAAAGCAGGGGAUCGCAAGACCUUGCGUUAUACGAGCGGCCGAUGUCAGAUUAGCUAGUUGGUGAGGUAAAGGCUCACCAAGGCGACGAUCUGUGGCGGGUCUGAGAGGAUGAUCCGCCACACUGGGACUGAGACACGGCCCAGACUCCUACGGGAGGCAGCAGUGGGGAAUUUUGGACAAUGGGGGCAACCCUGAUCCAGCCAUGCCGCGUGAGUGAAGAAGGCCCUCGGGUUGUAAAGCUCUUUCGGCCGGGAAGAAAUCGCACAGGCUAAUACUCUGUGUGGAUGACGGUACCGGCAUAAGAAGCACCGGCUAACUACGUGCCAGCAGCCGCCGUAA